rnacentral:rRNA from 3 species
AAACAGACSAAUUAASGCUUAACGAGCGAGACCUGGGCGUGCUAGCUAGGCGCCACUACUAUUUUUGGUAGUGAGGCUGCCUUCCUAGACGGACUGCGGGCGUCUAGUCCGCGGAAGCUCCAGGCAACAGGUCUGUG